CUCUCUCUCUCUCUCUCUCUCUCUCUCUCUCUCUCAUGAAAUAAAGAGCUAUUGACUAGUUAAUUAUGAAUAUUUCAGAUUGAUGUUUACAGUGGAGGGCGGUUGACAGUUCAAGGAAUCGAUUGUGGAGCGACGUGCUACUUCAAACACAGCAAAGCGUCAAGGCAAAAGAUAUGCAUAAGGGAUUGCAACACAUGCUGCAAACGGUGUGGAUGUGUGCCACCAGGGACUUAUGGGAACCCUGAUCCUUGCCCUUGCUAUGCCCACAUGACCACCCAUGGUGGUAGACUCAAAUGCCCCUGAACAACAACAACAACAACAACAAAUAUUGGAUAUAGAUAUUUCUGUGAAACUUGGAUAUAGAUAUAUAUGUUCUUUGGGUAUCCAAUAUUGUAAGAUCAAAUUCUGAAAGGGAACAAAAGGAUAAAGGAGUAUUACUGUUUGUAACAAAAUAAAGUUCUCUA